AGAACUUUUUAUAAAUUUAUAAUUAUUUGGUAUUAGAUAAAUAUUUUAUAUUUUACUAAUUGAUUAUUAGAUAAUCUGAAAUGUUGUAUGUAAAACGAGGAAUUAUUUCAUGCAUUCGCCUAAUAUUUUGGUAUGGUUAAUUUUGUCAUAUGCGAGUAACAAAAUACAACAUUUGUAAAUAAAAUUGUUUUAUUUUGAAACUCAACAUUUUUAGAGUUUAUUUUGAUAAUUUUGGUUUUAAUGGUCAUGUCUAAUACAUUUUAUUUUAUGAGUAUAUUUAAAAUAGAAAGAAAGGUUGGAAGUAUAGGUGUUUGGUAGGUUACGUUAGGUUAGGUGUAUGUUAAGGGUAUAUCAUUGACACCUAAGAUCUAACCGCAUCAAGAAGGCAUUUACCCAUGAAUAUUUUUAGCAAUAUACUACAGAUGCAAACGAUGAUUUUUUUUUUUUUAACUUUUUAUUAUUGUACUUAUACUUAAAAUCUUUUUAAAAAUUACUUUUUUUAUGUACCUAUCUUCAAUAUUUUUUUUAAAAAUAAUGUAUGAUGUUUAACGGAUUUAUUAAACCAUUUUUUUUAUUUUAUACUUUUAAUUAGUUUUAAAUUGUCUUUAAAAACAUUUAUAAAACUUAUUUUUUUAAUAUGCCUCCACAGUUUUUUUAAAAAUAAAUCGGUCCGUGCGUAUCAUUUAUAAUGUGACGGGAAACUGUAUUAUUAUUAUGUAUAUUUAAAUUUAGGUUGCAUGUAUUAGUACGCAUCAUAUUGUAAAUAUUAGUAUUAGG